UACGUAGGGUGCGAGCGUUGUCCGGAAUUAUUGGGCGUAAAGGGCUCGUAGGCGGUUUGUCGCGUCGGGAGUGAAAACCCAGGGCUUAACCCUGGGCUGGCUUUCGAUACGGGCAGAACUAGAGGUAUGCAGGGGAGAACGGAAUUCCUGGUGUAGCGGUGAAAUGCGCAGAUAUCAGGAGGAACACCGGUGGCGAAGGCGGUUCUCUGGGCAUUACCUGACGUGAGGAGCGAAAGUGUGGGGAGCGAACAGG
rnacentral:rRNA from 1 species